rnacentral:tRNA from 1 species
CAGCUGGUAGCGUAGUAGUUAGCGCUUAGAGCUGCUGACGCAAAGGUUACAGGUUCAAUUCCCACCUCCAGCUGU